UUGCCCAAUAAAUAAAUAAAACGUUGGCGAAUGGAUGAACAGCAGUUGUUCAAAAAAAAAAAUAGAUGAACUGCAGAACCAAAAAAGAGUGACGGCAGAACUAACGAAGAGAGAGGAACGACCACUGGCGUCCUCCGCCCUCUGACGCCGUCCUUCACCGGCGUUGCCGAAGAGAGAGAAGACGAAAGAGGAACAAGGCGAAGAGAGAGACGGCCAUAGCCAUCUGCCGGAGCUCACGCACGCCCUCGAUUGAACCAGAUACGUGAGUGGGAGAUAGAGUUGGAAAAAGAUAGAAAAAGAGAAUGAAAGCAAUAUAGUGGCUGGAGGAGGAAAGAAAGAAGAAGAGGAAAAAAGUGACGGUGGUGAACAGAACAGCACAAAGCAUGGCAGUUGUAUGGCAUAAAUGGUUAAGGAAGAGCAUCCUAUCACCAUUUAGCUCAAGGGCAUUCAGUACCUUGAAGAGUAACCCCAGUCAACAAAUCAUAAAGUCUCCUCCUCUUCUUUCCCAUGACGUACCUGAUGUAUGGACUUCAAACUCCAUGCAUUGUGAUCCUCCAUCUAUAGGAGAAU